rnacentral:rRNA from 1 species
GACGAACGCUGGCGGCGUGCUUAACACAUGCAAGUCGAACGAAAGGACGGAAAGAGCUUGCUCUUUUCAGAAUUGAGUGGCAAACGGGUGAGUAACACGUAAACAACCUGCCUUCAGGAUGGGGACAACAGACGGAAACGACUGCUAAUACCGAAUAAGUUCCAAGAGCCGCAUGGCCCAUGGAAGAAAAGGUGGCCUCUACCUGUAAGCUAUCGCCUGAAGAGGGGUUUGCGUCUGAUUAGCUGGUUGGAGGGGUAACGGCCCACCAAGGCGACGAUCAGUAGCCGGUCUGAGAGGAUGAACGGCCACACUGGAACUGAGACACGGUCCAGACUCCUACGGGAGGCAGCAGUGGGGAAUCUUCCGCAAUGGGCGAAAGCCUGACGGAGCAACGCCGCGUGAGUGAUGACGGCCUUCGGGUUGUAAAACUCUGUGAUCCGGGACGAAAAGGCAGAGUGCGAAGAA